UGGGGAAUAUUGCACAAUGGGCGCAAGCCUGAUGCAGCCAUGCCGCGUGUGUGAAGAAGGCCUUCGGGUUGUAAAGCACUUUCAGCGAGGAGGAAGGUGGUGAGCUUAAUACGCUCAUCAAUUGACGUUACUCGCAGAAGAAGCACCGGCUAACUCCGUGCCAGCAGCCGCGGUAAUACGGAGGGUGCAAGCGUUAAUCGGAAUUACUGGGCGUAAAGCGCACGCAGGCGGUUUGUUAAGUCAGAUGUGAAAUCCCCGGGCUCAACCUGGGAACUGCAUUUGAAACUGGUAAGCUAGAGUCUCGUAGAGGGGGGUAGAAUUCCAGGUGUAGCGGUGAAAUGCGUAGAGAUCUGGAGGAAUACCGGUGGCGAAGGCGGCCCCCCUGGACGAAGACUGACGCUCAGGUGCGAAAGCGUGGGGCAGCAAACAGGAUUAGAUACCCUGGUAGUCCAGCGCUGUAAACGAUGUCGAUUUGGAGGUUGUGCCCUUGAGGCGUGGCUUCCGGAGCUAACGCGUUAAAUCGACCGCCUGGGGGAGUACGGCCGCAAGGUUAAAAACUCAAAUGAAUUGACGGGGUC
rnacentral:rRNA from 1 species